CCUACGGGGGGCAGCAGUGGGGAAUAUUGCACAAUGGGGGAAACCCUGAUGCAGCGACGCCGCGUGAGUGAAGAAGUAUCUCGGUACGUAAAGCUCUAUCAGCAGGGAAGAAAAUGACGGUACCUGACUAAGAAGCCCCGGCUAAAUACGUGCCAGCAGCGGCGGUAAUACGUAGGGGGCAAGCGUUAUCCGGAUUUACUGGGUGUAAAGGGAGCGUAGACGGCAGGACAAGUCUGGAGUGAAAUGCCGGGGCUUAACCCCGGAACUGCUUUUGAAACUGGGCGGCUGGAGUGCAGGAGGGGUAAGCGGAAUGCGCAGUGUAGCGGUGAAAUGCGUAGAUAUUGGGCAGAACACCGGUGGCGAAGGCAGCUUACUGGACUGUCACUGACGUUGAGGCUCGAAAGCGUGGGGAGCAAACAGGAUUAGAUACCCUUGUAGUC
rnacentral:rRNA from 1 species